UGAGGAAUAUUGGUCAAUGGACGAGAGUCUGAACCAGCCAAGUAGCGUGCAGGAUGACGGCCCUAUGGGUUGUAAACUGCUUUUGUUUGGGAAUAAUCGACAUUACGUGUAAUGUUUUGCAUGUACCAUUCGAAUAAGGACCGGCUAAUUCCGUGCCAGCAGCCGCGGUAAUACGGAAGGUCCAGGCGUUAUCCGGAUUUAUUGGGUUUAAAGGGAGUGUAGGCGGUUGGUUAAGCGUGUUGUGAAAUGUAGAUGCUCAACAUCUGACUUGCAGCGCGAACUGGCUGACUUGAGUACACCCAACGUAGGCGGAAUUCAUGGUGUAGCGGUGAAAUGCUUAGAUAUCAUGAAGAACUCCGAUUGCGAAGGCAGCUUACGGGAGUGUUACUGACGCUUAAGCUCGAAGGUGCGGGUAUCGAACAGG
rnacentral:rRNA from 1 species